rnacentral:rRNA from 1 species
AAUGCGCGAAAGCGUGACGGAGCAAUGCCGCGUGCAGGAUGAAGCCCCUCGGGGUGUAAACUGCUGUCAGGGUUUAGGAAGAUCUGACCAAACCCAAAGGAAGGGCCGGCUAACUUCGUGCCAGCAGCCGCGGUAAUACGAAGGGCCCGAGCGUUAUUCGGAAUCACUGGGCUUAAAGCGUACGCAGGCGGACACGCAGGCAUCUUGUGAAAUCCCACCGCUCAACGGUGGAACUGCAGGGUGAACCGCGUGUCUCGAGACAGGUAGGGGCCAUCGGAACGAUAGGUGGAGUGGUGAAAUGCGUUGAUAUCUAUCGGAACGCCGAAGGAGAAAUCAGAUGGCUGGGCCCGUUCUGACGCUGAGGUACGAAAGCGUGGGGAGCGAACGGGAUU